UAGAGUUUGAUCCUGGCUCAGGACGAACGCUGGCGGCGCGCCUAACACAUGCAAGUCGAGCGAGAACCAGGGGCUUGCCCCUGGGGACAGCGGCGAACGGGUGCGUAACACGUGAGCAACCUGCCCCAAAGACCGGGACAACCCGAGGAAACUCGGACUAAUACCGGAUGCCCUCACCGGAUCGCAUGGUCUGGUGAGGAAAUGGAUUCCGCUUUGAGAUGGGCUCGCGGUCUAUCAGCUUGUUGGUGGGGUAACGGCCUACCAAGGCGACGACGGAUAGCUGGUCUGAGAGGACGAUCAGCCACACUGGGACUGAGACACGGCCCAGACUCCUACGGGAGGCAGCAGUGGGGAAUCUUGCGCAAUGGGGGAAACCCUGACGCAGCGACGCCGCGUGCGGGAUGAAGGCCUUCGGGUUGUAAACCGCUUUCAGCAGGGACGAAAUUGACGGUACCUGCAGAAGAAGGCCCGGCCAACUACGUGCCAGCCGCCGCGGUAAUAC
rnacentral:rRNA from 1 species